GACGAACGCUGGCGGCGUGCCUAAUACAUGCAAGUAGAACGCUGAAGCUUGGUGCUUGCACCGAGCGGAUGAGCUGCGAACGGGUGAGUAACGCGUAGGUAACCUGCCUGGUAGCGGGGGAUAACUAUUGGAAACGAUAGCUAAUACCGCAUAAGAGUAGAUGUUGCAUGACAUUUGCUUAAAAGGUGCAAUUGCAUCACUACCAGAUGGACCUGCGUUGUAUUAGCUAGUUGGUGAGGUAACGGCUCACCAAGGCAACGAUACAUAGCCGACCUGAGAGGGUGAUCGGCCACACUGGGACUGAGACACGGCCCAGACUCCUACGGGAGGCAGCAGUAGGGAAUCUUCGGCAAUAGACGGAAGUCUGACCGAGCAACGCCGCGUGAGUGAAGAAGGUUUUCGGAUCGUAAAGCUCUGUUGUAAGAGAAGAACGAGUGUGAGAGUGGAAAGUUCACACUGUGACGGUAUCUUACCAGAAAGGGACGGCUAACUACGUG
rnacentral:rRNA from 1 species